rnacentral:snRNA from 1 species
AGCUUUGCACAGUGGCAGUAUCAUAGCUAAUGAGGUGUAUCCAAAGCGUGAUUAUUGCUCAUUGAAAACUUUAUCUGAUACAAU